rnacentral:rRNA from 1 species
AUUGAACGCUGGCGGCAUGCCUUACACAUGCAAGUCGAACGGUAACAGGACUUCGGAUGCUGACGAGUGGCGAACGGGUGAGUAAUACAUCGGAACGUGCCCGAUCGUGGGGGAUAACGAAGCGAAAGCUUUGCUAAUACCGCAUAAGAUCUACGGAUGAAAGCAGGGGACCGCAAGGCCUUGCGCGAACGGAGCGGCCGAUGGCAGAUUAGGUAGUUGGUGGGAUAAAAGCUUACCAAGCCGACGAUCUGUAGCUGGUCUGAGAGGACGACCAGCCACACUGGGACUGAGACACGGCCCAGACUCCUACGGGAGGCAGCAGUGGGGAAUUUUGGACAAUGGGCGAAAGCCUGAUCCAGCCAUGCCGCGUGCAGGAUGAAGGCCUUCGGGUUGUAAACUGCUUUUGUACGGAACGAAAAGACUCUGGUUAAUACCUGGGGUCCAUGACGGUACCGUAAGAAUAAGCACCGGCUAACUACGUGCCAGCAGCCGCCGUAACAC